rnacentral:rRNA from 1 species
AUUGAACGCUGGCGGCAGGCCUAACACAUGCAAGUCGAACGGUAACAGGAAGCAGCUUGCUGCUUUGCUGACGAGUGGCGGACGGGUGAGUAAUGUCUGGGAAACUGCCUGAUGGAGGGGGAUAACUACUGGAAACGGUAGCUAAUACCGCAUAACGUCGCAAGACCAAAGAGGGGGACCUUCGGGCCUCUUGCCAUCGGAUGCGCCCAGAUGGGAUUAGCUAGUAGGUGGGGUAACGGCUCACCUAGGCGACGAUCCCUAGCUGGUCUGAGAGGAUGACCAGCCACACUGGAACUGAGACACGGUCCAGACUCCUACGGGAGGCAGCAGUGGGGAAUAUUGCACAAUGGGCGCAAGCCUGAUGCAGCCAUGCCGCGUGUAUGAAGAAGGCCUUCGGGUUGUAAAGUACUUUCAGCGGGGAGGAAGGGAGUAAAGUUAAUACCUUUGCUCAUUGACGUUACCCGCAGAAGAAGCACCGGCUAACUCCGUG